rnacentral:rRNA from 1 species
AGAGUUUGAUCCUGGCUCAGGACGAACGCUGGCGGCAUGCCUAAUACAUGCAAGUCGUGCGCAGGAAACAAAUUGAAAUCUUCGGAUGGACGUUUGUGGAAUGAGCGGCGGAUGGGUGAGUAACACGUGGGCAACCUGCCUGUAAGAUCGGGAUAACUCCGGGAAACCGGUGCUAAUACCGAAUAAUUCUAUUCAUCACCUGGUGGAUAGGUAAAAGAUGGCUCUUUGAGCGAUCACUUACAGAUGGGCCCGUGGCGCAUUAGCUAGUUGGUGGGAUAAAAGCUUACCAAGGCGACGAUGCGUAGCCGACCUGAGAGGGUGAUCGGCCACACUGGGACUGAGACACGGCCCAGACUCCUACGGGAGGCAGCAGUAGGGAAUCUUCCGCAAUGGACGCAAGUCUGACGGAGCAAUGCCGCGUGAGUGAUGAAGGUCUUCGGAUUGUAAAACUCUGUUGUUAGGGAAGAACAAGUACCGUUCAAAUAGGGCGGUACCUUGACGGUACCUAACCAGAAAGCCACGGCUAACUACGUGCCAGCAGCCGCGGUAAUACGUAGGUGGCAAGCGUUGUCCGGAAUUAUUGGGCGUAAAGCGCGCGCAGGCGGCCUUUUAAGUCUGAUGUGAAAGCCCACGGCUUAACCGUGGAAGGUCAUUGGAAACUGGAAGGCUUGAGUACAGAAGAGGAAAGCGGAAUUCCACGUGUAGCGGUGAAAUGCGUAGAGAUGUGGAGGAACACCAGUGGCGAAGGCGGCUUUCUGGUCUGUAACUGACGCUGAGGCGCGAAAGCGUGGGUAGCGAACAGGAUUAGAUACCCUGGUAGUCCACGCCGUAAACGAUGAGUGCUAAGUGUUAGAGGGUUUCCGCCCUUUAGUGCUGCAGUUAACGCAUUAAGCACUCCGCCUGGGGGAGUACGGCCGCAAGGCUGAAACUCAAAGGAAUUGACGGGGGGCCCGCACAAGCGG